GGGUUGUGAGGUUAAGCGACUAAGCGUACACGGUGGAUGCCCUGGCAGUCAGAGGCGAUGAAGGACGUGCUAAUCUGCGAUAAGCGCCGGUAAGGUGAUAUGAACCGUUAUAACCGGCGAUUUCCGAAUGGGGAAACCCAGUGUGAUUCGUCACACUAUCAUUAACUGAAUCCAUAGGUUAAUGAGGCGAACCGGGGGAACUGAAACAUCUAAGUACCCCGAGGAAAAGAAAUCAACCGAGAUUCCCCCAGUAGCGGCGAGCGAACGGGGAGGAGCCCAGAGCCUGAAUCAGCAUGUGUGUUAGUGGAAGCGUCUGGAAAGGCGCGCGAUACAGGGUGACAGCCCCGUACACAAAAGCGCAUGUGCUGUGAGCUCGAUGAGUAGGGCGGGACACGUGGUAUCCUGUCUGAAUAUGGGGGGACCAUCCUCCAAGGCUAAAUACUCCUGACUGACCGAUAGUGAACCAGUACCGUGAGGGAAAGGCGAAAAGAACCCCGGCGAGGGGAGUGAAAAAGAACCUGAAACCGUGUACGUACAAGCAGUGGGAGCACAGGUUUACCUGUGUGACUGCGUACCUUUUGUAUAAUGGGUCAGCGACUUAUAUUCUGUAGCAAGGUUAACCGUAUAGGGGAGCCGGAGGGAAACCGAGUCUUAACCGGGCGUUAAGUUGCAGGGUAUAGACCCGAAACCCGGUGAUCUAGCCAUGGGCAGGUUGAAGGUUGGGUAACACUAACUGGAGGACCGAACCGACUAAUGUUGAAAAAUUAGCGGAUGACCUGUGGCUGGGGGUGAAAGGCCAAUCAAACCGGGAGAUAGCUGGUUCUCCCCGAAAGCUAUUUAGGUAGCGCCUCGUGAAUUCAUCUCCGGGGGUAGAGCACUGUUUCGGCUAGGGGGCCAUCCCGGCUUACCAACCCGAUGCAAACUGCGAAUACCGGAGAAUGUUAUCACGGGAGACACACGGCGGGUGCUAACGUCCGUCGUGAAGAGGGAAACAACCCAGACCGCCAGCUAAGGUCCCAAAGUCAUGGUUAAGUGGGAAACGAUGUGGGAAGGCCCAGACAGCCAGGAUGUUGGCUUAGAAGCAGCCAUCAUUUAAAGAAAGCGUAAUAGCUCACUGGUCGAGUCGGCCUGCGCGGAAGAUGUAACGGGGCUAAACCAUGCACCGAAGCUGCGGCAGCGACACUCAGGUGUUGUUGGGUAGGGGAGCGUUCUGUAAGCCUGUGAAGGUGGCCUGUGAGGGUUGCUGGAGGUAUCAGAAGUGCGAAUGCUGACAUAAGUAACGAUAAAGCGGGUGAAAAGCCCGCUCGCCGGAAGACCAAGGGUUCCUGUCCAACGUUAAUCGGGGCAGGGUGAGUCGACCCCUAAGGCGAGGCCGAAAGGCGUAGUCGAUGGGAAACGGGUUAAUAUUCCCGUACUUGGUGUUACUGCGAAGGGGGGACGGAGAAGGCUAUGUUGGCCGGGCGACGGUUGUCCCGGUUUAAGCGUGUAGGUGUGUGUUCCAGGUAAAUCCGGUUCACUUUAACACUGAGGCGUGACGACGAGGCACUACGGUGCUGAAGCAACAAAUGCCCUGCUUCCAGGAAAAGCCUCUAAGCAUCAGGUAACAUCAAAUCGUACCCCAAACCGACACAGGUGGUCAGGUAGAGAAUACCAAGGCGCUUGAGAGAACUCGGGUGAAGGAACUAGGCAAAAUGGUGCCGUAACUUCGGGAGAAGGCACGCUGACACGUAGGUGAAGUGAUUUACUCAUGGAGCUGAAGUCAGUCGAAGAUACCAGCUGGCUGCAACUGUUUAUUAAAAACACAGCACUGUGCAAACACGAAAGUGGACGUAUACGGUGUGACGCCUGCCCGGUGCCGGAAGGUUAAUUGAUGGGGUCAGCGCAAGCGAAGCUCCUGAUCGAAGCCCCGGUAAACGGCGGCCGUAACUAUAACGGUCCUAAGGUAGCGAAAUUCCUUGUCGGGUAAGUUCCGACCUGCACGAAUGGCGUAAUGAUGGCCAGGCUGUCUCCACCCGAGACUCAGUGAAAUUGAACUCGCUGUGAAGAUGCAGUGUACCCGCGGCAAGACGGAAAGACCCCGUGAACCUUUACUAUAGCUUGACACUGAACAUUGAGCCUUGAUGUGUAGGAUAGGUGGGAGGCUUUGAAGUGUGGACGCCAGUCUGCAUGGAGCCGACCUUGA
rnacentral:rRNA from 1 species